GAGAUCCUCUGUACCCUACAGUAAAAGGACGAAGCAGCUUGGUUUGACCUGGGGAAAUAUCCACUGACUAGCCUGCAUGGUUUCAAGGAAGAUGAGAUGGAGAGAUACAACAUACAUGGAGAAAUCUGUGUCUGUAUCAUAAAGGUCUUGUGUGUGUAUCAUGAAGAGGGAUUCAGUCGACUUUUGAAGGAACAAAUAUUUCGGCUCGUCCAUCUGAUGGCACAGACUGGAAAAGAGAAAAGCUACCGCACCAUCGUUCUCUUGGUAAUCAUACCAAGAUCAGUCCACAUGCUGAGGGUUGCAACUCCAACACCACUAACAAGAUUUCACUGUGAUCAGCUGACUAAAACAAAAUCUGACUGGAGAAAAUGAUGAAGGAAUCUAAAAUGUUGUUGCACGGACAAGCAAUCUUAGAAUACAAGCACCUCAACGGGAAAACCACUGGUAAUUGAAGCUGGUAGAGCGCUGUGACAUCUCUCGUAAACAAGCUGCCAGUUAUGGACAAGGAUCACGUCAACGUUGCUACACUCCUGAAGCUGUGGCUGUCUUCAGGUCUUUUCUGCCUCGUGGGCAAAUCUGCAUACCAGUGAUUAUAUGCGUACUUAAGUUUUGCUUUGAAGCAAUAUCAGUGCUACACUUGUGAAGCAGUGGCAGUGUUCAGGUCUUGUCUGCCUCACUGACAUAUCUGCAUACCAGUAGUUAUGGGCAGACUUGGCUCUUUCUUUGGAGCAGUACAGUUGUAAGAUAAAUCCUGUUUGUAACUUUAUAAAUGAGUUGCUCAUUAAGGGCUUACGAAGGUUUUGAUGCCUUGCUGGCAUAUCUGCAUACCAGUAAAUAUGUGCAGAUUCCUUUCUUGCUUUGAAGCAAUAUUGUUGCUACACUCCUAAAGCAGUGGCAAUUGUCAGGUCUUUUCUGCCUCGCGGGCAAAUCUGCAUACCAGUAAUUAUGUGCAGACUUGGCUCUUCCAGAGAUUGUACUUGUAGGACUGGGUCCAUUGAAUGUAACAAAAAUAAUCGAUGCCUAUUUACAAAUGAAAUGAAGAGUCUGCAUUUUGGUGUAACUCCAUAUAACUGUCAGGUGAUUUCGCUCUGAACUUGUGACACUCUGAUCGGUCUGAAAUAAUCAUUAUCCCGCCCCUCUGGGAAAAAUUUGCAGCCCCAUUGCCCCGUUCUGUUACUGUCUGAGAGAUGGCGAUGUCAGAGGGGAAUGGCGGUCGGCAAACCUAUUGCGAAUGGGCAGCACAAUUUGGUGUAGGAUAUUCCGAAACCAUUGCACACUCCUGAAUCUGCGGUGGGUUGGUACCCCACGCUACGUAAGGAGUAGGUUUUUGGGUAAGCCUUGGUCCACGUGAAUAGGUCGUGCCUUAAAAAGAUGAGAAGUUGCGAAUUGACGCCCUGUGAAGUGUCCUUCGACCAGCUAGUGCUAAUCCGGUCACUGUCUCCAGGUCACCAUGCCUCGGUCAAUGAGCGGGCGAAGCACCCAAUGGCUCCGUCAGGAGUACAUCGUCAACUUCAGCCCGUAGUCAAACCGGUACGCGCACAAAUAUCUUAGUUGAGAGUGGGGGACAUCAGUUGCUUCUCAUCGGGGUAAUACAGUAUUGACCCCAUUUUUUGUUGGAUUCAUUUCCACUGAGGAGUGGUCGAUAAUGAGAAUUUCAAGCCAGUCUGAUUAUCACCAGUACAGAGGGCAAUUAUCUAAUAGUUAUGUGGCUUUCCCUCAAACUGUGUACUCUUUCAUGUCAAUUGUAAAUUAGUGUU